rnacentral:rRNA from 1 species
AAUUUUGGACAAUGGGCGAAAGCCUGAUCCAGCCAUUCCGCGUGCAGGAUGAAGGCCCUCGGGUUGUAAACUGCUUUUGUACAGAACGAAAAGGUCUCUAUUAAUACUAGGGGCUCAUGACGGUACUGUAAGAAUAAGCACCGGCUAACUACGUGCCAGCAGCCGCGGUAAUACGUAGGGUGCAAGCGUUAAUCGGAAUUACUGGGCGUAAAGCGUGCGCAGGCGGUUAUAUAAGUCAGAUGUGAAAUCCCCGGGCUCAACCUGGGAACUGCAUUUGAGACUGUAUAGCUAGAGUACGGUAGAGGGGGAUGGAAUUCCGCGUGUAGCAGUGAAAUGCGUAGAUAUGCGGAGGAACACCGAUGGCGAAGGCAAUCCCCUGGACCUGUACUGACGCUCAUGCACGAAAGCGUGGGGAGCAAACAGGAUUA